AUUGAACGCUGGCGGCAUGCCUUACACAUGCAAGGCGAACGGCAGCACGGGAGCAAUCCUGGUGGCGAGUGGCGAACGGGUGAGUAAAGUAUCGGAACGUGCCCAGUCGUGGGGGAUAACGUAGCGAAAGUUACGCUAAUACCGCAUACGAUCUAUGGAUGAAAGCGGGGGAUCGCAAGACCUCGCGCGAUUGGAGCGGCCGAUAUCAGAUUAGGUAGUUGGUGGGGUAAAGGCUCACCAAGCCGACGAUCUGUAGCUGGUCUGAGAGGACGACCAGCCACACUGGGACUGAGACACGGCCCAGACUCCUACGGGAGGCAGCAGUGGGGAAUUUUGGACAAUGGGCGAAAGCCUGAUCCAGUCAUGCCGCGUGCAGGAUGAAGGCCUUCGGGUCGUAAACUGCUUUUGUACGGAACGAAAAGGUUUGGCCUAAUAAGCUGAGCUCAUGACGGUACCGUAAGAAUAAGCACCGGCUAACUACGUGCCAGCAGCCGCCGUAA
rnacentral:rRNA from 1 species